rnacentral:rRNA from 1 species
CUUACGCUCUAUCACAUAUCGCAGUGUAGAGUCGAGAUAGGGUGAUCCCAAGCGCUUAUGAGGUCACGCUUGUGCCAAAAGUAAAAAUUGUGGAGACAGCAAGGGCCAGAGACCGGUGCGAGCAGCGCGUCACACAGCGCGCCCGCGAGGUGGGGAUCAUAGACGGGGUCUAAGCGUCCUGAGCCGGUUGGUAAACCUCUUGUGGAAUUGUAGGCUUACUAACCACUGCAGUAGAAACUGCUGACUGGACAGGGAAGGUAGGCGAAUGCAACGGAGCGUAAAUGUUAUGCUAGCACUACAUGCCAGGGCGUACAGACGGGCGACGUAUGACGAAGCAGGAGCAUCGAUAGAUUCAAUCUGUGAUAUCGACUCGAACUGUCGAUCGAAUCUCAGUGCAGAAUUCUGAGUUCUGACUCGGUUUGAUAUUCUGUGUCUGCGUAACUCACUAGUGCAUCUCGGUACCGUCGAGUGAUGCUAGUCGCUGUAACGUCGCAGACUGACUAAGAUGCGUAAGGCGAUCGCGUAGCAUGGCCUUUGAGCUUAGUCACUGCUGUUCA